UGGGAGAUUAAUCAGAAAAUAUAACAUAAAAUACUAGAGGGAAUAUAGUGUUAAUACAAUCAGCUCCAUCAGCAGCUUGCAUAGCAGCUGAGGGCUGUGGUGUGUCACUGAUAUGAUUACCUACUCAUCCAGGCCUCUGAUCUCAUUGUUCCCUGACACAGAAGAUAAUACAUGCAUACUAAUGUGGGGCUGUAUUUGAAAUAAAGAUUUGCUUGACGUAGUAGAAAUGUUGCAGUUAUGAUUAUAUAGUUAUAUUUCUUUUCGCUUUUUAAAUAAUUUAUUUUCAAUAUGCAACACAAAUAGUCAAUUAAAAAUAUAUUUAAAACAAGGUAUCACCUGUUUAAUUGAUAUAAUUGCACUAAUUGAGAUCAUGGAUAAUAUAGGUUUUAGUAAUAUGAGAGCUGAAAACUAAAUAUCACAUUUCUUAGAUUAAAAUUCUGGUAUGAUUAUAAAAACAACAUUAACAUGUUAAAACUUAUAACAUGCUGUAGGAAGUCCAGGUAAAGUUUUUGUCAGGCUACAUAUUUUGAAUUUCUUGAAGCUAAUCUAACAAAUAGCCCUUUUUGUAUUGCAUGGAGCUUGGGCUGUGGUGGUGUCACAGGGAUAGAGCACACUGGAGUAAGAAUGUUGGUUUAGUGUGACAAGUGCUCUCUUUCCUUCUGAGGAUCUCUGCUGGAUCAGCUGGAGGCAGCAGACUUGAGAGCAAUCACCUAUCUGCUGCAGCCUUCUGAAGGAGCUGUUAGAGGAUCAAUCAUUGCCUGAUAUUCAUGUUUGUUGGUUGAAGAAGUUCCUAGAUGCCUGGAUUACCACUGCUAUUUCAAGCUUAACGCUCUGUGACUCUACAAUACCAGCCUGGCCUCCCACUCCACUGUAUAACGAGAGACUCACCACCAAGAUCUCAUCACCUCCUACAGCUGCUCUUUUUGAUCCAAAACAAAGCUGCUGGACCUCCUGAGCUCUGAACAAGGUCCAUUCCCAUGUCUCUGGUCAAAAUGUCUACCACCUGCUUGUGAUUCUGCAUCAGGAUUGCCCCGUGGUCAUUGGAGCCCUCGGGGCAGUGACCCCCAAACUGGAGAAGUGGUUACAUUAGAUCCCUGGAAAUACAUCAGACAUCUCGGUCCAGAAGAGUGCAAUUCUACGAACAGCAAAGAUACUGUGUAGAACUCUCAAGCUCCCAGGCCUCUGGUAGAAGACCCGGGCUUGGAGGAAAAAGGGGGGAAGACCAUCCGCAAUGGCAGCGUGGGAAUCUGCCACCAUCCAUCCCAAGCAGCAGGUAAUGGAUCAAGCGCGGGACCUGAUGUGGCUACGGAUGAGCCAGCCCGUAGGCGUGAGAGUAGGCGUUCAAAUGGAUUUGGAGAAGCUCGCCUAAAGUACUUACACCUGGAACUUUUUGUGUUUGCUUCUCAGCGCAAGCCCUUCACAUCUCCUCAUUUCUUCUUUCAAAGACAAAAAAACAUGACAGCAGGGUGCCAGAGUCAUGUUGGGUUGGUUGGGGGACAUUUUGAUGUUAGUGGGAUGCUUUUUUUUCUUGGCACUCUUUAAUCCCAGCAGUGUUGCAAAAGCACUCUGUUCUAUUUCUCACUUUGAUUGCUGAAGCACGGAUCAAGAGCCUUGUAAAGGUAGCCCCCAAUGUCACUUUACAACUGCAGGAAAUCAUAAAUUGUUCAAGUGCGUCUUGCCACUGGUAUAUAUUGUGUUUUCAGAGCAGUUGUGCAGUUUAUGUGUAGUGAAGAGUAAAUGGGUCCAAACUAAAGAAAAAAAAUACAGGAUCUUGCACUCUCCACAGAUUUCUCACAGAACCCUGGAAACUAAUAUACACAAACAUCUGUUUAUGAAUAAUGGAUGAAGAUGAAAUACUUGUACCGAUCCACUCUAGAGCAGAGCAGAUGUUAUUUACAGUCUUAUAGAAGUAUGCUUGCCAUCAGGGCUGAUGCAAUUUAAUGUGAGUCUUUUUUUUAUUGUAUUGGAGAUCAAUGUUUAUGGAUAACUACUUUAUUGUACUGUUUUUGUCACCUUUUAAUCUGAAAUUGUAUAUUUUUUAUUUCUAAUAUACCAACACAUAGUGACACAUUCUUAAGUAGAAUUUAAAUUAUAUGUUUUUUUGAAAGUACAAAUAAAUAAAAAUCUGGUGCAACCAAUUGCCUUA